rnacentral:rRNA from 1 species
AACGAACGCUGGCGGCAGGCUUAACACAUGCAAGUCGAGCGCCCCGCAAGGGGAGCGGCAGACGGGUGAGUAACGCGUGGGAACGUACCCUUUGCUACGGAAUAGCUCCGGGAAACUGGAAUUAAUACCGUAUGUGCCCGACGGGGGAAAGAUUUAUAGGCAAAGGAUCGGCCCGCGUUGGAUUAGCUAGUUGGUGGGGUAAUGGCCUACCAAGGCGACGCACCAUAGCUGGUCUGAGAGGAUGAUCAGCCACACUGGGACUGAGACACGGCCCAGACUCCUACGGGAGGCAGCAGUGGGGAAUAUUGGACAAUGGGCGCAAGCCUGAUCCAGCCAUGCCGCGUGUGUGAUGAAGGCCUUAGGGUUGUAAAGCACUUUCGCCAGGGACGAUAAUGACGGUACCUGGAUAAGAAGCCCCGGCUAACUUCGUGCCAGCAGCCGCAGUAAUAC